rnacentral:rRNA from 1 species
CCCUUAGAUGUUCUGGGCCGCACACGCGCUACACUGAAGGAGGCAGCGUGUACUCCUGGAUCGAAGGAUUUGGGUAACCCGCGAAUCUCCUACGUGCUAGGGAUUGAGGUUUGCAAUUAUCCUUCAUGAACGAGGAAUUCUCAGUAAGUGCAAGUCAUAAGCUUGCGCUGACUACGUCCCUGCCCUUUGUACACACCGCCCGUCGCUACUACCGAUUGAAUGAUUUAGUGAGGACUUCGGACUGGGACCGAUGCGGCUUUCGGGCUGCGUCGGUAUUCUGGAAAGAUGUCCAAACUGUAUCAUUUAGAGGAAGUAAAAGUCGUAACA